rnacentral:lncRNA from 10 species
AUGGUGUGCCGGGGGCCGCGCGGGCCGGGAGUUGGGUGGGCUGGGGGACAGGCGCGCCCGCGCCGCCCGCUCCAGCUGGGCUAGUGCUGCACAUUCCGGCCAGCCCCUCCUCAAGACCCCAUUCCCAAGCCCCUUCUCAGCUCCCUCGGGCCGGCAGAGCGGCUCUGAUCAGAGUCUUGCUCAGUCGCCAGGCUGUAGUGCAGUGGCACGAUCUCAGCUCACUGCAGCCGCCACCUCCCAGGUUCAAGCGAUUCUCCUGCCUCAGCCUCCCGAGUAGCUGAGACUACAGAGCACCAUGGCCUGGCAAGGUCCGACGUUUUCCAAGGAUCCUGGCUGAGCUCCUGUGGAAGCUGCUUCUUACACUGAUGUGGUCCCUCGGCUGGCAGGCCCUUCUGCGGCCAACCAGGUGACACCUGCCAGUUAUGAGGGACAGGUAGGAGAGGAUGGGCUUUCCAUCAGAAAAAAAAAAAAAAAGGUUUUCCAAACUGCUUUUCUUUCAAAUUUUAAUCUUAAGACUAACCUACAUUAAUUUCUUAUUUUUAUCUCAUAAAGUCCAGAAUUUCUGAUAAUUUCAGUUCUUUUCCAGAGUGCAAAGAAGCAUUGGCUCUUCAGGUAUUAUGUUUAACAUUUUGCAGGAAUUGCUUUACUCUAUAGACAAAUAAACUACACAUUUAAGACUUAUUUCCUCUGUCAGUAAAUGUGAACGCUUUGACUAAUUUCUCAAGUGUGUUGUUUUGACAGUGAGGCAGAUAGCCUGCUGUUUUGGGUCAAACCUACGUAAAUGUACAUGACCCCAGCAAGAGAUUCUAGACUCAGCAGAGGAAUUCACAGCAAGAGUUGAUGUAGAAGUUGACAACCAAGGCCAGGCGCGGUGGCUCACGCCUGUAAUCCCAGCACUUUGGGAGGCCGAGGUGGGUGGAUCACGAGGUCAGGAGAUGGAGACCAUCCUGGCUAACAUGGUGAAACCCCGUCUCUACUGAAAAUACAAAAAUUAGCCGGGCGUGGUGGCGGCGCCUGUAGUCCCAGCUACUCAGGAGGCUGAGGCAGGAGAAUGGCGUGAACCUGGGAGGCAGAGCUUGCAGUGAGCAGAGAUGGCGCCACUGCACUCCAGCCUGGGCGACAGAGCAAGACUCAGUCUCAAAAACAAAAAAACAAAAAACAACAACAAAAAAACAAAAAAACCCAUAAUAGUAGUGAUAAGGCCGGUGCGGUGGCUCAUGCCUGUAAUCCCAGCACUUUGGGAGGCCAAGGCGGGCGGAUCACGAGGUCAGGAGUUUGAGACCAGCCUGGCCAACACGGUGAAACCCCGUCUCUACUAAAAAUACAAAAAUUAGCUGGACGUGGUGGCGGGCGCCUGUAAUCUUCUCAGACACCCAACCACCGGCUCCUCAGCCGGGGCAACUCCCUGUAAGAUGACGGCACCUUUUCACGGCCCCCCACCCUGCCCCAAAUCCCCGAUCCAGCUCCAAAUCCCCGAUCCAAACCCCAACCCGCGAUCCCAAAUCUGCGAUCUAGCCCAGAAUCCGCGAUCCAGCCGGGUCCACCACAGCCUUCAGCAGCGACACUCCCAGCCUCCGACCUCUCAGACCCAGUGAGCCUCGCAAGGCCAUUAGCAGCGCGCCUGCACCGCGGGGGCCGCCGGGCUCCCAGAACCCGCCCGGCCUCAGGAGCAGGGCCUGUCUGGCCGUGCGGCCCCACUUAAUCUUAAUAGCAAAUAAAACUCAGCAGUAUGCUGUGGUAUAUUCUAUAAUGAUUCUACACAAUUGUAGAUUGCAUUAGAAUAAUGUUUUUUAAAAUUAUUUUCUUGGUAACAAAUGGACACUUGAAAUUUUAUUUUAAUUUUAAUUUUUUUUUAAACAGAGUUUCACUCUUGUUGCCCAGGCUGGAGUGCAAUGGCGCGAUCUCGGCUCACUGCAACCUCUGCCUCCCAGGUACAAGUGAUUCUCCUGUCUCAGCCUCCCGAGUAGCUCGGAUUACAGGCACGGGCCACCACACCCGGCUUUUUUUUUUUUUUUUUUUUUUGGUAUUUAGUAGAGACGGGGUUUCAUCAUGUUAGGCUGGUCGCAAACUCCUGACCUCAGGUGAUCCACCUGCCUUGGCCUCCCAAAAUGCUGGGAUUACAGGAGUAAGCCACUGCGCCUGGGCAAAAUUUUAUUUUUUAAUAAUGCCAAGUGAUUUCAUUUUAAAUUAAACCGCAGCAUAAAUUGGAUUAUUUUCCUGCAUGAGUACCUUGCUCUUCAAACAAAAACAUUUUUUAAAGACCAAAUAUAUUGCAUACUUUUUUUUAAAAAAGCUCUGGCUGUGUGCAUUGGCUUACGCCUGUAAUCCCAACACUUUGGGGAGGCUGAGGGAGGAGGACUGUUUGAACCAGGAGUUUGAGACCGGCCUGGGCAACACAGUGAGACACUGGCUCUACAAUAAUCUUUCUUUAAAAGUUAGCCAGGUAUGGUGGUGCACAGCCAUGGUCCCAGACACUUGGGAGGUUGAGGUGGGAGGAUAGCUUGAGCCUGGGAGGUUGAGGCUGCAGUGAGCUAUGAUUGCACUCCAGCCUGGGUGACAGAGCAAGAACCUGUCUCAAAAACAUGUUCUUUUUUUUUUAAAAAUUUAUUUAUUUAUUUUUUAUUAUUAUUAUACUUUAAGUUUUAGGGUACAUGUGCACAAUGUGCCAGUUAGUUACAUAUGUAUACAUGUGCCAUGCUGAUGUGCUGCACCCAUUAACUCAUCAUUUAGCAUUAGGUAUAUCUCCUAAUGCUAUCCUUCCCCUCUCCCCCCAAAACACCCCCCAAAACAUGUUCUUACUGUAUAAGAAAUUAUGAAUGACAUUUAUUUUAUGUUAAAACAGUAUAUUUUAUCUACAAAAGGAGUAAAAGACAGUAAUACAAAAAAUUGGCACAUAAAGGAACAAAAAUGCUAAAAAAUUAAAAUUUACCAAUAAUCCUAUCACCUAAAUUGAUAAUUUUUAAUAUAAUUAAAUGUAGGAUUUUAAAAUAAAUUUCUUUUAAUUUAUUUAUUUAAACAUAUAGAUUAUUUUUAGACCCUCUUCAGGCAUCCCCUGUUGAAUAAGUUCCAUGAUUUACAGGCCUACUCUCUCUAUUAUUAAAUAUUUUAUUGCUUUCAAUGAACAACAUUUUUUGUAAACAUUUUCACAGAAACAAAUAUGGGCACAUUGAGACAUGUUUUCUUUUCAAAAAGUCCUAGCACUUUAAUUACUGUGUAAAGAGAUAUUAGUGUACAAUUUUCACACAUAUUGACUAACGUCCCUGCAAAAUGUUGAAUCAAUUUAUACUUGCAGCACCAAUCGGCAAAUUAAUGUCCAUUAUGCUUUCGCUUCACCAAAACUGAUACUUAUAUUUUAUUUUGCUAGACAAAAAUACAUAUUAUCUUAAUUUGCAUAACUGUAAUUAAUAGAAAGAUUAAAUUUUUUUUCAGAUGUAUCAUAGGACAUCAUUUUUUCUUGAGUCUGGUGGGUGCUUAGUUCCUUUAAAGCAUUAAUCUUGUAUACAUUAAUUUUAUGUGCAAAACAAUCAUUAAGUACAAUUUGAAAUAUGGAAAAAUAAAUAGCUGGAUUAAGAAAAAAACAAAUAGAGCUUCUGGAAUUAAAACAUUCACUAAUGGAAUUUCAAAACACAGUUGGAAUCUUUAACAAUAAACUAGACCAAGCAGAAGAAAUAAUUUUAGACUUUGAAACUGGUCUUUCAAAGUAACCCAGUCAGACAAAAAUAAAAGAAAAAAGAACUGAAAAACAAAGCCCUUAAGAAAUAUGGGAUUAUGUAAAGUGACCAAACUUAUAACUUAUUGGCAUUCCUACAACAGAAGAAUAAAAAGUAACCAACUAAGAAAGUAUAUUUAAGGGAAUAAUUUAGGAAAAGUUCUCUAGUCUUGCUAGAAAGGUUGACAUUCAGAUAUAAGAAAUUCAGAGAACACCUGUGGGAUAGUAAACAAGAUGCCCAUUCCUAAGGCAUCCACAGUCAUUAGAAUAGCUGUGGUCAAUGCAAAAGAAAAUAUAUUAAAGGCAGCUCAAACAAAGGGCCAAAUUACCUAUAAAGUAAAUUAGAUUAACAACAGACUUAGCAGCAGAUACCCUGCAACCUAGAAAAGAUUGGGGCCUAGCGUUAGCCUUCUCAAAGAAAAAAAAAAAUGCCAUCCAAUAAUUUCUUUUUUUUGGAGACAGAGUCUCACUUUGCCACCCAGGCUGGAGUGCCGUGGUGUGAUCUCAGCUCACUGCAACCUCUGCUUCCUGGGUUCAAGCAAUUCUCCUGCCUCAGCCUCCCCAGUAGCUGGGAUUACAGGUGCCCGCCACCACACCUGGCAAAUUUUGGUAUUUUUAAUAGAGAUGGAGUUUCUUCAUGUUGGCCAGGCUGGUCUUGAACUCCUGACCUCAGCUGAUCUGCCUGCCUCGGCCUCCCAAAGUGCUAGGAUUACAG